AGAGUUUGAUCCUGGCUCAGAGCGAACGCUGGCGGCGUGCUUAACACAUGCAAGUCGAACGCGCAGUUUGGUGUAGCAAUACACUGAGCGGGCGCGUGGCGAACGGGUGCGUAACACGUGGAUAACCUUCCUUCAGGUGGGGAAUAACCCAGCGAAAGUUGGGCUAAUACCGCAUAACAUGACGGUGGCACAUGCUGCUG
rnacentral:rRNA from 1 species